rnacentral:rRNA from 1 species
GACGAAUGCUGGCUGCGUGCUUAACACGUGCAAGUCGAACGGUGAAGGGGAGCUUGCUCCCCGGAUCAGUGGCGAACGGGUGAGUAACACGUGGGCAACCUGCCCCUCACUCUGGGAUAACUCCGGGAACCCGGGGCUAAUACCGGAUACGACCGGGAGCGACAUCGCUCCUGGUGGAAAGAACUUCGGUGAGGGAUGGGCCCGCGGCCUAUCAGCUAGUUGGUGGGGUAACGGCCCACCAAGGCGACGACGGGUAGCCGGCCUGAGAGGGCGACCGGCCACACUGGGACUGAGACACGGCCCAGACUCCUACGGGAGGCAGCAGUGGGGAAUAUUGCGCAAUGGGCGAAAGCCUGACGCAGCGACGCCGCGUGGGGGAUGACGGCCUUCGGGUUGUAAACCUCUUUCGGCAGGGACGAAGCCCGCAAGGGUGACGGUACCUGCAGAAGAAGCACCGGCCAACUACGUGCCAGCAGCCGCGUAACAC